rnacentral:rRNA from 1 species
GGGCCCGCACAAGCGGUGGAGCAUGUGGUUUAAUUCGAUGCAACGCGAAAAACCUUACCAGGCCUUGACAUCCAGAGAACUUACCAGAGAUGGUUCGGUGCCUUCGGGAACUCUGUGACAGGUGUUGCAUGGCUGUCGUCAGCUCGUGUCGUGAGAUGUUGGGUUAAGUCCCGUAACGAGCGCAACCCUUAUCCUUACUUGCCAGCACGUAAUGGUGGGAACUUUAAGGAGACUGCCGGUGACAAACCGGAGGAAGGAGAGGAUGAUGUCAAGUCAUCAUGGCCCUUACGGCCUGGGCUACACACGUGCUACAAUGGGAAGUACAGAGAGCAGCCACUACGCGAGUAGGAGCG